UACGGGGGGAGCAAGCGUUGUUCGGAUUUACUGGGCGUAAAGGGCGCGUAGGCGGCCAGCACAAGUCAGUUGUGAAAUCUCCGGGCUUAACUCGGAAAGGUCAACUGAUACUGUGCGGCUAGAGUGCAGAAGGGGCAACUGGAAUUCUCGGUGUAGCGGUGAAAUGCGUAGAUAUCGAGAGGAACACCGGUGGCGAAGGCGGGUCUCUGGGCCGUAACUGACGCUGAGGAGCGAAAGCAUGGGGAGCGAACAGG
rnacentral:rRNA from 1 species